CAAUAGCGUAUAUUAAAGUUGUUGCAGUUAAAAAGCUCGUAGUUGGAUUUGUGGCGUACGGUGUGUUCCGGGCACUUGUUGUCUGAGUAACCUGCUGUUGCCAUCCUUGGGUGGAACCUGUGUGGCAUUAGGUUGUCGUGCAGGGGAUGCCCAUCAUUUACUGUGAAAAAAUUAGAGUGUUCAAAGCAGGCUUAUGCCGUUGAAUAUAUUAGCAUGGAAUAAUGAGAUAGGACUUCUUUGCUAUUUUGUUGGUUUGCGCAAAGAGGUAAUGAUUAAUAGGGACAGUUGGGGGUAUUCGUAUUCCAUUGUCAGAGGUGAAAUUCUUGGAUUUUUGGAAGACGAACUACUGCGAAAGCAUUUACCAAGGAUGUUUUCAUUAA
rnacentral:rRNA from 1 species